rnacentral:rRNA from 1 species
GACGAACGCUGGCGGCGUGCUUAACACAUGCAAGUCGAACGGAAAGGCCCUGCUUUUGUGGGUUGCUCGAGUGGCGAACGGGUGAGUAACACGUGAGUAACCUGCCCUUGACUUUGGGGUAACUUCAGGAAACUGGGGCUAAUACCGGAUAGGAGCUCCUGCUGCAUGGUGGGGGUUGGAAAGUUUCGGCGGUUGUGGAUGGACUCGCGGGUUAUCAGCUUGUUGGUGAGGUAGUGGUUUACCAAGGCUUUGACGGGUAGCCCGCCUGAGAGGGUGACCGGCGACAUUGGGACUACGAUACGGCGCAGAAUCCAACGGGCGGCAGUAGUGGGGAACAUUGCAGAAUGGGCGGACGCCUGAUGUAGCAACCCCGCGUGCGGGAUGCUGGGCUUCGGGUUGUAAACCGCUUUCGAAUGUGAUGAACCCUGCGUGACGGUACUGAGUCAAGAAGCAACGGCUAACUACGUG